AUCCUCAAUCCCCUUGGGUUUUUGACCCGAUUGGAUUGGAUUUGGGUGUCUGCCAGCUAAUGGCUCACCUUAAAAGUGUUAGUGGGAUAAGCUCCUAUGGCUAAGACGUAAUAAGUUUCGUCUGGCUUGGUGUGAUUGCCUGCUCAUAACAAACCAUAUAUUUUGA
rnacentral:misc_RNA from 1 species